GUUGUUAGACGUAUGUGGUGGCAUUAGGGGGUCUUGACAGAAAAUGUAAAAAUCAGGUAGGGCCAUACACAAUAUUAUAAGAAAAAGCCCCAAAUAUCGAGACUCUCACCCUAGGGGAGGGAGUGUGUGUCGGGGAGAGGGGGGAUUAUAGGGGUGUGUGUCAUGUGAACUGUCACGUGAACUGUAUGGGUUAAUAGUGAUAGAAAUGUAGCCGUGUUAGUCUGGGGUAGUUGAAGCAAAAUGCAGGACAAUGUAGCACUUUAAAGUGUAUGGGUUAAGGAUAUGUUGUGUGGAGGCUUGUGGUAGGGGACAGUGUUGGGAUGGAGGGUGUCCUGUACUGUGUGGCUAUCCUGUGUGCUGGGGAGAUGCUUGUCUGUGUUCCAAGGGUGCCUGUGCUGAGUGUGCAGAAUGCUUGAACCUCUGGCAGGGGUGAAUGUGCUAUAGAUGCACGGGGGCUGGUGUAUCCAUUAUGAAGAAAAGAGCAUUGAAACAUACUGUUAGAUUGGCAGUUUCCCUUUCACAAAAUAAAUGAAUUAUCUCUGUUUCUUGGGAGUUCUUUGAGGGGUGAAAGAGGAUUGGGGGCCAGAGUACAUUUAGGAGCUUUUCAAAUUCUGCAUCUUCUUACCCAUGAAACAAAACAGCUUUCCUGUUAAUUGCAUUCUGGGCAAUAUUCUGCAGAAGAGCUGACCCCUGAAUGCUGCAACAUUAUAAACAAUAGUGUUUAUGCACCAUCCUUAAAACAGUCUCUUGAAUGUUUUUAUUAACAAAGGUUUGCAACCAGGUUGUGUGCAUAAAUUGUUUCAUUCUGAUCUCAUAGAACCAAACAUUUCAAUAGACAUUGGUUUUGUUUUAAAGUUCCAUGGCUCAGAAUAUUUGUCAGCUGAUCAGUUUUCCAUGAUGUUCCAAGAUUUGGGUUAUUCAUUAACUUCAACGGGGCAAGGUUCCUCACUUUGGUGUGGGAAACCAACACAAUCCCUGAUUCUGAUAUUAUGUCCUCUGGCCUGGGCAUCUCCUAUUGAUUCCAUUUGGAAGUUUGCCCAUCAAUAAUCUUGUUUCCAGUGACAACAGGACCGGCUGUGAAGUUUAAUCUAAUUAGGCGCUUCAAGGAUUGAUCACCCUGAGGCUGCCUCCCCACCCUUCGAGUCAAAGAUAGGGGUGAGCGAUUCCUGAGCAUGCUCCGAGUUUUUGUGUGUCUUCAUGUUGUUAUUGUUGCUGAAUUUGUCAGCUCAUCAACCCUUGUGGAUUUGACAACAUGAUGGGACACCAUGAAGCAUGAUAAAGCAAGAAACAAAGGGCAGUUGUUUUGCAGCUCGGGGUGAAUGAAGAUGGCUGUAUACUAGCUUUGUACUCCUUUGUACCAAAAUGGGACACACUGUAUAUUCACAUUUUCCCUCACCAUUAACUGUUUUUAUAUUUAGCUGAACCUUACAGCAUGCCUUGAAAAAUGCAAAAAUCUGCAUAUCUAGGAAAUCAAUUUACAUUCAUGAGAACUCUUGGUUGAGAACAGCAUUCUGCCAGUCUUGGACAAUUCACUUCCAGGAGCUGACAGCACAAGUGCACCACUGUCUUGGCCUAUCUUUAGUUUAUACAUUAGAGGCAUGCCUACACUGGGAGCUGGGGAUGUGAUUCCCAGCUCAAGGAGACAUUCUUGCUCUAGGUUUCACUGAGCUUCUGCUAGAAAAAUAAAAAGUAGUUGCAGGAGCGCAAAUUGCGGCAUAGGCUAGCCACCCUGAGUACAUGGCCAUCAAAGAUGAGUGAGCCUCUGUGAUUGUUUAAAUCAAUAGACAGGACAGUGACAUUAACCAGUGUGAAAUGCAGAUCUCAAAAAGAAACUGUUACAUACAGCCGAACAGAAAAAAUCCGUCGACUCCAAGUGAAAUAUUGCAUUACAUUAAUGAGAACAAAAGAUGAUUGUUCUGUCUUCUCUUUGUGAAAAUGCAACAUGCAAAUGGAUUUCUCCUGUCAGCUGAGUUUGCAUCUCAGCUCAAAGGAGGGAAUUAAACCCCCUAAAAAAGAAACUGGAUCUUUGUGGUGCUUGGAUCCUGGUAGGCAAAGUUUGCUAAGUAUAAGCUAGAAACUCCUGCUGUUUACUCUGGGUUACCAUCAGAGGGCAUAUAGAGAUUUCUUAUUCUAGACAUUUCUAUGACUUUUUGAAACAAAGCUGUAUGAUGGAGCUGUCCUUUUCAAAACAUCCCAGCAUUCAGUUAUUAAAGGUCAAACCCAGAUAGCUAGGAAGUGUUGGCAGGAAAGAAGUGUUGAGAUUUGAAUUGAAAGGGAAUCUGCCUGCUUAAUUCAAGGAUACCAUGCCUAGAAAAGGAAUACCUGUGCCUAGAAUUGGACAGGACCUUGGAAGUAUGGAUAUGAGAGUAUAUAGGGAAUGUUUAAUUAGAUGCAAUAAGUUUAUUUUCUUGGUUUUGUAGUUUGGUUAAAUUCCUCUGUGCUAAGUCCAUGUGCCUCUCCCUCCCACACUAACUAUAACUG